UGCCCCCACAGUCUGUUCAGGCUAUACGGGGGAUCUGUGUCUGUACUGUGUGCCCUUGCUUGGAAACUCAUCUACUACAACAACUACUACCGCCCUGAGCUUCUACAACUCCGAAUACACCCCUCGUGAUGCUGAUCAUCGCCUUCACCAACGCACGCUGGCCACCUUUGCCAUGCAAAGGUGGUUCAGAUAACCGCCAUGACAGACACUGCGUGGACUGAGGCUUUGUUCUAUCAGUGGACUGAGGCUUUGUUCUAUUCGUGGACUGAGGCGUUGUUCUAUCAGUGGACUGAGGCUUCGUUCUAUUCGUGGACUGAGGCUUUGUUCUAUCAGUGGACUGAGGCUUUGUUCUAUCAGUGGACUAGGGCUUUGUUCUAUCAGUGGACUGAGGCUUUGUUCUAUCAGUGGACUGUGGCUUUGUUCUAUCAGUGGACUGAGGCUUUGUUCUAUCAGUGGACUAGGGCUUUGUUCUAUCAGUGGACUGAGGCUUUGUUCUAUUAGUGGACUCAGGCUUUGUUCUAUUCGUGGACUAGGGCUUUGUUCUAUCAGUGGACUGAGGCUUUGUUCUAUUCGUGGACUGAGGCUUUGUUCUAUCAGUGGACUGAGGCUUUGUUCUAUUCGUGGACUCAGGCUUUGUUCUAUUUGUGGACUGUGCCUUUGUUCUAUCAGUGGACUAAGGCUUUGUUCUAUCAGUGGACAGGGGCUUUGUUCUAUUCGUGGACUGUGGCUUUGUUCUAUCAGUGGACAGGGGCUUUGUUCUAUCAGUGGUCUGAGGCUUUGUUCUAUCAGUGGACUAGAACUUUGUUAUAUUCGUGGACUGAGGCUUUGUUCUAUCAGUGGACUGAGGCUUUGUUCUAUCAGUGGACUAAGGCUUUGUUCUAUCAGUGGACUAAGGCUUUGUUCUAUCAGUGGAUUGAGGCUUUGUUCUAUUCGUGGACUGAGGCUUUGUUCUAUCAGUGUAUUGAGGCUUUGUUCUAUUCGUGGACUGAGGCUUUGUUCUAUCAGUGGUCUGAGGCUUUGUUCUAUCAGUGGACUGGAGCUUUGUUCCAUUCGUGGUCUGAGGCUUUGUUCUAUCAGUGGACUAAGGCUUUGUUCUAUCAGUGGACUGAGGCUUUGAUACAUCAGUGGACUAGGGCUUUGUUCUAUCAGUGGACUGAGGCUUUGUUCUAUCAGUGGACUGAGGCUUUGUUCUAUCAGUGGACUGAGGCUUUGAUACAUCAGUGGACUAGGGCUUUGUUCUAUCAGUGGACUGAGGCUUUGUUCUAUUAGUGGACUCAGGCUUUGUUCUAUUCGUGGACUAGGGCUUUGUUCUAUCAGUGGACUGAGGCUUUGUUCUAUUCGUGGACUGAGGCUUUGUUCUAUCAGUGGACUGAGGCUUUGUUCUAUUCGUGGACUCAGGCUUUGUUCUAUUUGUGGACUGUGCCUUUGUUCUAUCAGUGGACUAAGGCUUUGUUCUAUCAGUGGACAGGGGCUUUGUUCUAUUCGUGGACUGUGGCUUUGUUCUAUCAGUGGACAGGGGCUUUGUUCUAUCAGUGGUCUGAGGCUUUGUUCUAUCAGUGGACUAGAACUUUGUUAUAUUCGUGGACUGAGGCUUUGUUCUAUCAGUGGACUGAGGCUUUGUUCUAUCAGUGGACUAAGGCUUUGUUCUAUCAGUGGACUAAGGCUUUGUUCUAUCAGUGGAUUGAGGCUUUGUUCUAUUCGUGGACUGAGGCUUUGUUCUAUCAGUGUAUUGAGGCUUUGUUCUAUUCGUGGACUGAGGCUUUGUUCUAUCAGUGGUCUGAGGCUUUGUUCUAUCAGUGGACUGGAGCUUUGUUCCAUUCGUGGUCUGAGGCUUUGUUCUAUCAGUGGACUAAGGCUUUGGUCUAUCAGUGGACUGAGGCUUUGUUCUAUCAGUGGACUGAGGCUUUGUUCUAUCAGUGGACUGAGGCUUUGUUCUAUCAGUGGACUGAGGCUUUGAUACAUCAGUGGACUGGAGGCUUUGAUACAUCAGUGGCUUGAGGCUGCAUUGAUUAUUAUUUCACUGUCUCGGGAAAACAACCCAGUGCGUAACAAUACUCACAAUACAGUAAAUACAUUUACAUCGCGUAAUGCAGCGUGACUGAUGUAGCACUUGGUGCAGUGCGCUCUUCGUUUAAUCUACCAGUAGAGAAAAAAUCAAAACCUUCGCACUCUGUCGCUCGCGUUACACCCGCUCUUCGAUACCAGAACGGGAGCCAGCGCUGUUGUUAAAUUGAUUAACCACAAGCGUGCAAGCGCAGCAUUCGCUCUGCUUUCCAAGACAGAAAACGACUCGGCAGAGCGAGGAGCCACCACGGACGAGGGGGGAAGGCGGCAAGCCACGCGAUGGACAAACAGCCCCAUCUGAGGCCGAGAUCGCCAAGACCGCCAGGGAUUUCUACUCGCAACUUUGCACCGCCGAAACUCCACAAGACGAGGCUAUCCAGGAGCUACUGGAUGGGGGGCCCUACCUUAGGAGUCCCAGAGCGGGAUCGUCUGGACAGCCCCGUCACCCUGCAGCAGGAGCUCCACACUGCUGUGAAAUGGCUCGCAGCUGGUAAAGCCCCGGGGAUUGGCGGCCUGCCAGUUGAGUUUUACGCGGCCUGCUGUGAUGAGCUUGGCCCUCCACGACUGCAAUUGUUGACGGAGAGGCCUGCAGAAGGGUGAACUCCUUCUUGCAGGCCUCUCCGUUGUGCGCGGCGCAUUUAGCAUCACAGCGCGUGGAUUUGUAACGUUUAUUUUCAUUUGUGUUGCUGGUGACUUUGUGUGUUUCAUAUCGAAAUCGCCUCCAGUGCUUUUGCUGCUGGCGGCGAUGAAAGUUGUUUAAAAGUCAAAAGUCUCUCGUUUCACUCUCUCUCUCUCUCUUUGCUUUUUCUCCUUCACGUGUUUUCUUUGCUCUCCACGCCCAGCAGCCCAGCUCCGGCAACGCCCUUGGUGCCAUGUGGAUCAGAACGAAGAUUGCAGCUCGUGAUUGUAGUCGCGAUGAUUAUAUUCCGUACAACAUCUGCACCGUCGCAUCGCGUCAUGGAAGAGAGCCUGGCAGCUCAUGUGGGACCUUCCUGCUGAAGUAAAUACUGUAAAUCUAAAGAGAAUUCUAAAGAUAAAUCGACAAAGCAGUCACGAUCUGUUGGCUCCAACGGUGGCUUCAACAGCAGCCGCGUUCGAUAUCGGAACAGCGUCCAAGACUGUAUGAGAAUCAUACGAUUUUUUUUAAUCAUCUUAAUGUCUUACUCUUCCUUAAUUGUAUAUUUGUUUAUAUGUAAUUGUUGUAAUUGUGCGUUCUUAAACGCUGCAUGCGUAAUUGUUUUGUUCGUGUCAGAGCGCUGCGGUUGUGUGCUUGCCCAGAACUGGCGCAGCCUGACCCAGAAAUUCAAUAAACAACAACACAAUC